GAUGAACGCUGGCGGCGUGCCUAAUACAUGCAAGUCGAGCGAACAGAUGAGGAGCUUGCUCCUCUGACGUUAGCGGCGGACGGGUGAGUAACACGUGGAUAACCUACCUAUAAGACUGGGAUAACUUCGGGAAACCGGAGCUAAUACCGGAUAAUAUAUUGAACCGCAUGGUUCAAUAGUGAAAGACGGUUUUGCUGUCACUUAUAGAUGGAUCCGCGCCGCAUUAGCUAGUUGGUAAGGUAACGGCUUACCAAGGCAACGAUGCGUAGCCGACCUGAGAGGGUGAUCGGCCACACUGGAACGGAGACACGGUCCAGACUCCUACGGGAGGCAGCAGCAGGGAAUCUUCCGCAAUGGGCGAAAGCCUGACGGAGCAACGCCGCGUGAGUGAUGAAGGUCUUCGGAUCGUAAAACUCUGUUAUUAGGGAAGAACAAAUGUGUAAGUAACUAUGCACGUCUUGACGGUACCUAAUCAGAAAGCCACGGCUAACUACGUG
rnacentral:rRNA from 1 species